GACGAACGCUGGCGGCGUGCUUAACACAUGCAAGUCGAACGGAAAGGCCCUGCUUUUGUGGGGUGCUCGAGUGGCGAACGGGUGAGUAACACGUGAGUAACCUGCCCUUGACUUUGGGAUAACUUCAGGAAACUGGGGCUAAUACCGGAUAGGAGCUCCUGCUGCAUGGUGGGGGUUGGAAAGUUUCGGCGGUUGGGAAUGGACUCGCGGCUUAUCAGCUUGUUGGUGGGGUAGUGGCUUACCAAGGCUUUGACGGGUAGCCGGCCUGAGAGGGUGACCGGCCACAUUGGGACUGAGAUACGGCCCAGACUCCUACGGGAGGCAGCGGUGGGGAAUAUUGCACAAUGGGCGGAAGCCUGAUGCAGCAACGCCGCGUGCGGGAUGACGGCCUUCGGGUUGUAAACCGCUUUCGCCUGUGACGAAGCGUGAGUGACGGUAAUGGGUAAAGAAGCACCGGCUAACUACGUG
rnacentral:rRNA from 1 species